AUUACAGAGUUCAUGCCCUCCGGGUAGAUCUCCCACCCACUGCUAUCACUACUCUCGUUGCUUUGGCGGGCCGCUGGGCCCUGCCCGGCCGCCGGCCCCGGCUGGCGCGUGCCCGCCAGAGACCUCACAGACUCUGAAUGUUAGUGUCGUCCGAGUAACUAUACAAUCGUUAAAACUUUCAACAACGGAUCUCUUGGUUCUGGCAUCGAUGAAGAACGCAGCGAAAUGCGAUAAGUAAUGCGAAUUGCAGAAUUCAGUGAGUCAUCGAAUCUUUGAACGCACAUUGCGCCCUGUGGUAUUCCGCAGGGCAUGCCUGUUCGAGCGUCAUUUCAACCCUCAAGCCUCGCUUGGUGUUGGGCCCUGCCCGCCGCGGCCGGCCCUAAAGAUAGUGGCGGCGCCGCCUGGCCCUCAGCGUAGUACAGCUCUCGCUCCAGGGUCCGGCGGCAGCCUGCCAGAACCCCCCAACUCUGU
rnacentral:rRNA from 1 species